rnacentral:rRNA from 1 species
GACGAACGCUGGCGGCGUGCUUAACACAUGCAAGUCGAACGGAAAGGCCUGCUUUCCCUUGUGGAUUGCGGGUACUCGAGUGGCGAACGGGUGAGUAACACGUGAGUGAUCUGCCCCCAACUUGGGUAUAAGCCUGGGAAACUGGGUCUAAUUCCCGAUAGGACUGCAGGGUGGUGCCUGUGGUGGAAAACGAUUUUCUAGUGGUUGGGGAUGAGCUCGCGGCCUAUCAGCUUGUUGGUGGGGGAAUGGCCUACCAAGGCGGCGACGGGUAGCCGGCCUGGGAGGGUCGACGGCCACAUUGGGACUGAGAUACGGCCCAGACUCCUACGGGAGGCAGCAGUGGGGAAUAUUGCACAAUGGGCGGAAGCCUGAUGCAGCGACGCCGCGUGAGGGAUGUCGGCCUUCGGGUUGUAAACUCCUUUCGACCGCGAGGAAGCCACCUGGUUGGAAGGGUGGUGACGGUAGUGGUAGAAGAAGCACCGGCUAACUACGU